GGGCUUAACCCGGGAAUGGCAUUGAAUACUGUGAUCUGAGGAUCGGAGGGGGACUGGAAUCUGGUGUAGCAGUGAAAUGCGUAGAUAUCAGAGGAACACCAGUGGCGAAGGCGAGUCCCUGGACGAUACCUGACACUGAGGCACGAAAGCCGGGGGAGCAAACAGGAUUAGAUACCCUGGUAGUCCCGGCUGUAAACGGUGCGCAUUUGCUGUAAACGGAAUCGACCCCGUUUGUGGCGAAGCUAACGCGAUAAAUGCGCCGCCUGGGAAGUACGGUCGCAAGAUUAAAACUCAAAGAAAUUGACGGGGGCCUGCACAAGCGGUGGAGUAUGUGGCUUAAUUCGAUGCAACGCGAAGAACCUUACCUGGCCUUGACAUGCAAGUGGUAGAACCAUGAAAGUGGGACGACCCCGCAAGGGGAGCUUGCACAGGUGCUGCAUGGCUGUCGUCAGCUCGUGUCGUGAGAUGUUGGGUUAAGUCCCGCAACGAGCGCAACCCUUGUGUCCUGUUGCCACUCGAACGAGAGUUCGAAGCACUCUGGACAGACUGCCUCGCUUAAACGAGGAGGAAGGUGGGGAUGACGUCAAGUCAGUAUGGCCCUUACGGCCAGGGCUGCACACGUACUACAAUGCCCGGCACAAAGGGAAGCGAGACCGCGAGGUGGAGCAAAUCCCCUAAAACCGGGCCCAGUUCAGAUUGAAGGCUGCAACUCGCCUUCAUGAAGCUGGAAUCGCUAGUAAUGGCGCAUCAGCUACGGCGCCGUGAAUACGUUCCCAGGCCUUGUACACACCGCCCGUCACAUCAUGAAAGCCGUUUGUACCCGAAGUCAUUGUGCCAACCGCAAGGGGGCAGAUGCCGAAGGUAUGGAUGGUGAUGGAUGAAGUCGAACA
rnacentral:rRNA from 1 species